UUUUUUUUCAUUUCUUUCUCUCCUCAUUGUUCCAAAGGCUCCUGCAGAUCUGGCAGUACGUGCAGGACACCUCCGUCCUGCAUACAGGAUGAUGGAGACUUCAUGGAUGUGGAGUCAGCACACCUGGGUUUUAAUCCAGCUGCUCUUGAUGUAGGAUUUGGACCACUUAAAUCUCUCAGUUUCAGUUUCUGUAAAAAUAAGAGAGAAAAUGCCCACUUUUGAAAUAUUGAAAAUAAUGUGUUCAGCUGGGCAUGAUGGCACACGCCUGUAAUCCCAGUGGCUCGGGAAGCUGAGGCAGGAGAAUCGUGAGUUCAAAGCCAGCCUCAGCUUAAGCAAGGUGCUAAGCAACUCAGUGAGACCCUGUCUCUAAACAAAUUCAAAAUAGGGCUGGAGAUGUGGCUCAGUGGUCAAGUGCCUCCGAGUUCAAUCCCCGGUACCCCCCAAAAAAGAAAGAAAGAAAAUAAUGUGUGCAAAAGUUCCUGGCAUUCUCAAUAAGAGGCAGUGAUUAUUAUUUUAAGUUCAUUACAUCUCCCUCUUCACUUCUCUCUCAGCCAUCAACCUCCUGCAGACUGCUUCUGUUCUGAAGAUCUUUAGCCAUGAGCUUCUGCCCAAAUUCAAUGACUUCUUUAAAAUUUUUCUUCUCUUUUACUUCUUCAGCAUUCGUGACAAUUAGCAUUGAUUUCCUGUGUCUCCUCCCCCAUUCUUCCUAUAGUUUUGGGAUGUCCUAGCUCAUAGAAGUCUAUGAGCUCCUUUAGGUCAAGAACAAUGCCUCAUUUUUUCUUAUUGCUCCAGCACAUGGAGAGGGUGUUUGGUAAAUGUUCAAAUGAAUGCGUUAGAAAAUCAAAACUGCUGAGAGCCAUAGCCAAGUAGGAAUGACACAUGGCAUUUUGGGUUGAAAGGUGACCCUGCUCAGAGAUUAGGGUGGCUCCAGGUUUAGAGUGGAUCCUGCUGGGAUUAGGGCGUAUCCUGCCACCUCAGGCGCCCGCUCCUUUGGAGUUCCUUUGAGUUCUCGCGGGGUUCUGAGAGAAGUGGUGCGCGGAGCUGAGUGGAGGCAGUGGGUUCACGAAAAGUGUGGGAGAGUGUCGGUGAGAGUUCGGGAAUAAAGAGUUGCUGUUGGAAUCUACAAGGCUAUGUGGUGGCUCGGUUAUUUUGUGUCCAGCCAGACUGCGGCACAAAACCAUGUCCAUUCUUACCCUCCUGCUCAAUGGCACCAAUCUCUCUAUUCCCCUUUAUUUAUAGAUUCUUUCAGGAUUUGAUUAUUUUUUCUUUAAUGAAUUCUCGGUUAGGAGUAAAAGUGGAACAACUAGUAGAAGUAAGAUCAUUCUAAG
rnacentral:lncRNA from 1 species